rnacentral:pre_miRNA from 7 species
GUCUAGGACCUCUGGGUGGUCGCGCUGAUUCCCGGCCAAUGCACCAAAAUGAAAGACCCCCGAAAGGGAGACCCUCACUCAAGCACUCAAGCCCCGGGACAGCCGCGGACCCAAGAAGACACUGAGACCG